UACGGGGGGAGCAAGCGUUGUUCGGAUUUACUGGGCGUAAAGGGCGCGUAGGCGGCCAGCACAAGUCAGUUGUGAAAUCUCCGGGCUUAACUCGGAAAGGUCAACUGAUACUGUGCGGCUAGAGUGCGGAAGGGGCAACUGGAAUUCUCGGUGUAGCGGUGAAAUGCGUAGAUAUCGAGAGGAACACCUGCGGCGAAGGCGGGUUGCUGGGCCGACACUGACGCUGAUGCGCGAAAGCUAGGGGAGCAAACGGG
rnacentral:rRNA from 1 species